rnacentral:rRNA from 1 species
GACGAACGCUGGCGGCGUGCCUAAUACAUGCAAGUUGAGCGAUGAAGCUUGGUGCUUGCACCAAUUUGAAGAGCAGCGAACGGGUGAGUAACGCGUGGGGAAUCUGCCUUUGAGCGGGGGACAACAUUUGGAAACGGAUGCUAAUACCGCAUAAUAACUUUAAACAUAAGUUUUAAGUUUGAAAGAUGCAAUUGCAUCACUCAAAGAUGAUCCCGCGUUGUAUUAGCUAGUUGGUGAGGUAAAGGCUCACCAAGGCGAUGAUACAUAGCCGACCUGAGAGGGUGAUCGGCCACAUUGGGACUGAGACACGGCCCAAACUCCUACGGGAGGCAGCAGUAGGGAAUCUUCGGCAAUGGACGAAAGUCUGACCGAGCAACGCCGCGUGAGUGAAGAAGGUUUUCGGAUCGUAAAACUCUGUUGGUAGAGAAGAACGUUGGUGAGAGUGGAAAGCUCAUCAAGUGACGGUAACUACCCAGAAAGGGACGGCUAACUACGUG